GGGGCCGGGGCCGGGGCCUCUGCCCGCGCCGGGAAGGGGCUGCGCGGGGCCGCGGCGCGGGAAAGCCCAGCAAGAUCCUGUGAAGAAGGGGAACCUUAGCAUGAUGCCUCGAGGACAAGAAAUGGAUCCUUGUGCAAGAAAUAACUGGGAUUCAUGUGAGAGGUGGAACGUUGUGCCUGAAAAUCAUCAGGGUGCAAGAAGAGCCCAUCCCUGGGUGUUGUGCAAGCGAUGUGCAAACUGAUGGCCUCACGCAUCCCCAUGAGCCAAGGGACAGGAGUUCCUGGCCUGGGAGAAUUUGCCACAUCUGCUUCAGACU